ensembl:lncRNA
UGAUGUCCCUUUAUACCACAGGCUGGACAGUCCAUGUCCUUACAACAGCAGGUAGAAGUCUGAUGUCCCUUUAUACCACAGGCUGGACAGUCCAUGUCCUUACAACAGGCUGGACAGUCCAUGUCCUUACAACAGGCUGGACAGUCCAUGUCCUUACAACAGCAGGUAGAAGUCUGAUGUCCCUUUAUACCACAGGCUGGACAGUCCAUGUCCUUACAACAGCAUGUAGAAGUCUGAUGUCCCUUUAUACCACAGGCUGGACAGUCCAUGUCCUUACAACAGCAGGUAGAAGUCUGAUGUCCCUUUAUAUCACAGGCUGGACAGUCCAUGUCCUUACCACAGGCUGGACAGUCCAUGUCCUUACACCAGCAUGUAGAAGUCUGAUGUCCCUUUAUACCACAGGCUGGACAGUCCAUGUCCUUACAACAGGCUGGACAGUCCAUGUCCUUACAACAGGCUGGACAGUCCAUGUCCUUACAACAGGUUGGACAGUCCAUGUCCUUACACCAGCAGGUAGACUGGAUAUUAUCCCCCUAUGUCUUAUUACCUGUUCUGUCUGGAUGUAACAGGCUGACUAGUAAAUUACAUGUCUUUGGCCCCAUUACACUAAAAACUUGUCCUCAACCAUGUAAUUUACAAUUACAAAAUAUUCAAACCGUUCUGAAUAUGAGCUCCACUGCUCAAUGGUUCCAUCAA